rnacentral:rRNA from 2 species
GACGAACGCUGGCGGCGUGCCUAAUACAUGCAAGUCGAGCGGACAGAUGGGAGCUUGCUCCCUGAAGUCAGCGGCGGACGGGUGAGUAACACGUGGGCAACCUGCCUGUAAGACUGGGAUAACUCCGGGAAACCGGGGCUAAUACCGGAUAAUUCUUUCCCUCACAUGAGGGAAAGCUGAAAGAUGGUUUCGGCUAUCACUUACAGAUGGGCCCGCGGCGCAUUAGCUAGUUGGUGAGGUAACGGCUCACCAAGGCAACGAUGCGUAGCCGACCUGAGAGGGUGAUCGGCCACACUGGGACUGAGACACGGCCCAGACUCCUACGGGAGGCAGCAGUAGGGAAUCUUCCGCAAUGGACGAAAGUCUGACGGAGCAACGCCGCGUGAGUGAUGAAGGUUUUCGGAUCGUAAAACUCUGUUGUUAGGGAAGAACAAGUACCGGAGUAACUGCCGGUACCUUGACGGUACCUAACCAGAAAGCCACGGCUAACUACGUGCCAGCAGCCGCGGUAAUACGUAGGUGGCAAGCGUUGUCCGGAAUUAUUGGGCGUAAAGCGCGCGCAGGCGGUUCCUUAAGUCUGAUGUGAAAGCCCCCGGCUCAACUGGGGAGGGUCAUUGGAAACUGGGGAACUUGAGUGCAGAAGAGAAGAGUGGAAUUCCACGUGUAGCGGUGAAAUGCGUAGAGAUGUGGAGGAACACCAGUGGCGAAGGCGACUCUUUGGUCUGUAACUGACGCUGAGGCGCGAAAGCGUGGGGAGCAAACAGG